rnacentral:lncRNA from 1 species
GGAUUUCGUUCGUCGCCUUCUGCAGUGAAUCUUGCUGCAGCUGCAGCUGCAUUGGUAGUACGCCAAGUUGAAGCAAAAUACCCUGCUCUGCUUUUCAAGCAGCAACUUACAGCAUAUGUUGAAAAGAUUUAUGAAAUUAUUAGGGAUAACUUGAAGAAGGAGUUGGGACUUACAGCAUAUGUUGAAAAGAUUUAUGGAAUUAUUAGGGAUAACUUGAAGAAGGAGUUGGGAUCACUCCUUUCCUUAUGCAUCCAGGUUUGUUAAAAAAUUUUCUCGGCAAUUCACUAACUACAGGAUGCUCGUAGAGGUUGAUGCAUAAUUGCCAAUCUUUUUCCACUAAAUUUUACUUUUAUCUAAAGAUGCUCAGUCAGUUUCAUUCAUAAGCAGAUAUUCAUGACUAAUAAUAGUCAUAAUAUGUGUCAUGGCGUAUUAGGUCAGAGUCUACAGAGGAUAUUCUCUGAAUUUUCUUUGUUUUUGUUUUUAGGAGAAUCCUCAACAUUCAGGAAAGUUCUUUUUCGGUUUUGUUUCCCUUGUCAC